UUUCUAAUCACGAUCACUGAUUACCAAUAAUGCAAGGGUAACUACCACAUUGAUUUAUAAAAUGUUAAUGUGCACCAACGGCAUAACGUAGAUGGUAUUGACUGACGUACUUGUGACAGGAACCAUGCACAUGUGGCUGCGCUUGGUCACGAGUAAACUUGGGAGUUCGACGACUAUUACCUGGUGUGUACUUUGCGGGAGAAAUAAGGGUGUGUUGCCGGAACCCACGUUUGAAGUAAGAUUAGUCGAGUGGGGGCGCUAUCCCCUGGUUUUGGACCUGGAUAACUGAUAUUCCUCUCAGAGAUUGCGCAUUGUGGGAGGGAAAUACACUAUUUCUGUCCUCACCUACAAGCUACGAUCGAGAAAGCGCCCUCUGUCGAUCUGUUCCCUCAUUUGAGGCGGUUUUUAUUUUCAGGUAAAAGUUGUCUCAUUUAAAGGAGCGCCCUCUCUCGUUAUGUUUUCCCAUGGUUUUCCAAAUAAGCCAGGCGAGUAGGUUUUCCCAUGGUCAUGAUGAUCAGAUGUUUGUUGGAAUAAACGAAUCCCUGAUGUUCUAGUGUACAGUGAAUGAGUGUCCAAGCCAGUUUAUUUUUGUCACUUAGGGUUCCGCCUGAACCACUAAGCCAAUCUGAUACCAGUAAGCCAUCCAGCCCAAUCAGCCCUUCAACACUCAACGGACCGGACUCGUCGUCCACUGAUGGUCUUUCCGGAAUGUGCCGCCCGCGCCGCGCUCAGCGGAGAGGGCGCACUCGCCUGACAUGCCUGAAUCUCACUCCACAGUACGCAGUCCACCUCAUGGCCUCACAAGCCUUCCAACUAUCUGGUGAUUCUUACAUAGAGCCACCAUUCCUAAAGCCAACUACACGAUGUAUGCCAUCACCAUCCUGUGAUUGAGACCGUAGCUGCAGAUUCCUCCUUGAUGUGCCAUGGUACCGGCUGUCCUCGUCGGAUCCUGUUCCACUACUCGUUGAGUUUGCUCGAUACUUUUUCAGAGUGCAUAGCUCUUGGCCAACCAGCAUUGAAUGAGUUCACUGUUUGUCCUCUUCCUUUCACCGAGGAACCGUCUCAAGAAUGACCCUCCAUGUGCUCUGACCUGAAUGUUGAUUGCUGUGUUUACUGAGGCCUUUUAUGGAGAUGCAAUUACGAAGAAGCAUAGGCAAAAGAACAUCAGUGAACCAAGCUGGGUGAAGUGGUUGGUUCCUGUCUACCGUGGUCCUUGGAGGGGUUCACCUCACAGACUUGGCCAGUACAAAUAGGGUGCUCCUAAUUUCAAUUAUUACAUUUGCCAAAAAAGUGUCCAUCAUUGUCUUGACACAGUAAACAGAGUUUCCGGCUUGCAAAUAAUCACAUUUUAAAGCUUAGCUGCAAUUUCAUUUUUUAAGAAUUUUUCUGGAAUUUUGUACGCUUGUUCUUUGUGUAAAAACUCUUUUACAUUUCUUUUUGGUUACAUUGAAAAUUGCACUUUUUAGCAUUUAAAACUAUCCAAGCUUUCCUGGACAACUGAGGGCGCUAUUGUUGUGAAGUCCUGGGAAGGCAUAUUUCAGCGCAUGGGUUUUUAAUAUUUCUGAUAAAGGGAUUAAUGCUUGCUUAUUGCUAUGAACAAAAAACAACAAUGAAUCAAUAAAGAGGAGAAAUUUAAAGUCCAGCAAAAUCUACAAAAUGAAAGA
rnacentral:lncRNA from 1 species